UGGGGAAUUUUGGACAAUGGGCGCAAGCCUGAUCCAGCCAUGCCGCGUGCGGGAAGAAGGCCUUCGGGUUGUAAACCGCUUUUAGCCGGGACGAAAGCUCCACGCAUAACACCCGUGCGGGUUGACGGUACCGGCGGAAUAAGCACCGGCUAACUACGUGCCAGCAGCCGCGGUAAUACGUAGGGUGCGAGCGUUAAUCGGAAUUACUGGGCGUAAAGCGUGCGCAGGCGGUUCGUUGUGUCGGCGGUGAAAGCCCCGGGCUUAACCUGGGAAUGGCCGUGGAAACUGGCGAACUGGAGUGUGGCAGAGGGGGGUGGAAUUCCGCGUGUAGCAGUGAAAUGCGUAGAGAUGCGGAGGAACACCGAUGGCGAAGGCAGCCCCCUGGGCUAGCACUGACGCUCAGGCACGAAAGCGUGGGGAGCAAACAGGAUUAGAUACCCCCGUAGUCC
rnacentral:rRNA from 1 species